CGAAGUACUCGAUCUCAAACAGGAAGUCCGGGGUGGGCACAGGUGUGUGAGAGGAGCCCGUCAGCUGCUGGAUCUUUUCAAACUUGAAAACACGAAAGUGGAACAUGAGGGAGUCGAAGUUUCAUUCGGGAGCUGUGCUCAGGAUAGAACUCCAGACCUUGUACACGCAAGUUCCGGUACUAAGAGACAUCCUGGAGGCAUGGACAGGGCCUUCACUUAUCAGAAAUACCUGCGGUUGAUAGACUUUUGAGCCCUCUGUGUGCUCUUAGCCACUGCUCCAUGGCUAAAGCACGUUUGCCCAAGGGAAGUACGCCAUAGUUAACCCCGUUUCCAGGGGAGGAGCCCCAUCCUGACCUGCAGAGCAGAACUUGCCGCUGUGUAACUUCCUUGGCUGCCAGACAUAUAAGAAUCUCUGAAAGUGACAACCAUGAACCUGCAUUUUCAGCCAGCUGCCCAGUGGUGCUCAGGGAGGUCUCAGAGCUACUGGCUUAGCUUGGCAUUGUCCCAAAACAGCCAGCCUUAGGGAGCUGUGACCCUCCACACCAGCCUCACCUCUGCCUUCUCUGCGCUGUGAAUUGUCAGGAUCUUGGAGGACAAAAUCCAGCUCACCAGGUCCCAGGCCUGUUUGUCUGUGUCUCUGGACGACUGGAGAAGUUCCUUCAGGUUGGGUAACCUGCCAGCAUCCGCAAGCUGAAAGGAGAACCUCCAUUAGCAAGGAUCCCCGCUACAAUGGUGAUUGAACGCCCUCUAGUGGUGAGACAGAAAACUUCACUCCUAACACGAGGAAUUUUCCAAGCCCAUCUCCAUUCAUUCGUGACUCCCAGCUGACCGGCAGAAAAGCUCUCUACCAGAGACCCACAGCUACCACACUUGGCGAGGACUCAGAUCGGCACAUCACUCAACUCUCAAUCAGAAAAGCUUCUUCUUGCAGGAGACACGAGGUUCUUGCACUCACAGAGAAGCACUGGGGGAUCCAGGGAUGUUAAACAUGCAGGGUUGUCUGUUCAAAGGAAGAGAUGUGUAGCCUGUUUCCACCCAGAAGUCUGGGACGGGGCAUGGUUAAUAGCCUGGUGACCUCUGCUCUCUCUGUAUGACCCGAGACCACCACAGAGCCUUUCUGAACCCCUUAAGAUGUCACAUGUAAUAAGGACCCACCCUUAUGGAAGAUGUCAUGUGUACUUUACAAAGAGUUUUGAUGUAAUUGUGUCUUAAGUUUUGUUGUACACACGGCACUGAUUAACAUCAGGAAACUCCUCAACUGUGCUGUGAUUAAAUAUGCCUAAAAUAAAUUGCCCAGUGUCAAGGGUGAACCGACACGAGCUACUGAAUCGUGUUGAACUAGACUUCCUUCUUGCCCCACAGGGAUCAGACUGAUGUGCUCCUGGCCAUGGUGUUUGCAGAGACCCUUACAGUACACAGUAAUUAGUACAGAGACACACAACUGUACAACAUGGAGACGGUGACUGUCUUUGGAGCACUCAGCCCUAACGGGAAUGUUCUUUAUAAAGCUUCUCCCCUCAAGGCUCGGGGUCUAUGUGAAGAGGAAGCAGAAAGACUGUGAAAAUCAGGAUGGUGGCUCCAAGGGAGAGCAUCAUCCAGAUACAACACAUGUGACCUCAGAGACUAUGGCAGCAGGCAUAUGGCAGGACUGCACGGAUUUAAAUCAGACAAAAUCUCAGCACAGAGGAAGAAAGUGGGCACAAAGUUCCGCCCGAACCAAGAAGCAGACCUGCUAGGAAAGAGACAAUCAGUUUUCCCCAGUGGAGUGUCACUAGGUAUUCCGCACGCUCUGGGGCAGGCCCCAUGCUCAGGUGCACUGGCCAGUACAAAAUGGACCCCAUGAUUUUUGCAUGAAUUUUUUAUUUCGUUGUAUUUUUUUUUUGUCUUGCUAGUUUUUAGUUUGUUUGUUUUGACCUUUUUUGUUUGUUUGUUUGUUUGUUUGUUUUGAAAGACAGAAAGAACAUGACGUAAGUCGGGAGGUGGGGAGA